rnacentral:rRNA from 1 species
GGUGAGUAAUGCCUAGGAAUCUGCCUGGUAGUGGGGGACAACGUUUCGAAAGGAACGCUAAUACCGCAUACGUCCUACGGGAGAAAGCAGGGGACCUUCGGGCCUUGCGCUAUCAGAUGAGCCUAGGUCGGAUUAGCUAGUUGGUGAGGUAAUGGCUCACCAAGGCGACGAUCCGUAACUGGUCUGAGAGGAUGAUCAGUCACACUGGAACUGAGAACCGGUCCAGACUUCCACGGGAGGCAGCAGUGGGGAAUAUUGGACAAUGGGCGAAAGCCUGAUCCAGCCAUGCCGCGUGUGUGAAGAAGGUCUUCGGAUUGUAAAGCACUUUAAGUUGGGAGGAAGGGCAUUAACCUAAUACGUUAGUGUUUGACGUUACCGACAGAAUAAGCACCGGCUAACUCUGUGCCAGCAGCCGCGGUAAUACAGAGGGUGCAAGCGUUAAUCGGAAUUACUGGCGUAAAGCGCGCGUAGGUGGUUUGUUAAGUUGGAUGUGAAAGCCCCGGGCUCAACCUGGGAACUGCAUCCAAAACUGCAGAGCUAGAGUACGGUAGAGGGUGGUGGAAUUUCCUGUGUAGCGGUGAAAUGCGUAGAUAUAGGAAGGAACACCAGUGGCGAAGGCGACCACCUGGACUGAUACUGACACUGAGGUGCGAAAGCGUGGGGAGCAAA